UACGUAGGGGGCAAGCGUUGUCCGGAAUCAUUGGGCGUAAAGAGCGCGUAGGCGGUCCGGUAAGUCCGCUCUGAAAGUCCGGGGCUCAACCCCGGGAGGCGGGCGGAUACUGUCGGGCUAGAGUCCGGAAGAGGCGAGUGGAAUUCCUGGUGUAGCGGUGAAAUGCGCAGAUAUCAGGAGGAACACCAAUUGCGAAGGCAGCUCGCUGGGACGGUACUGACGCUGAGGCGCGAAAGCGUGGGGAGCAAACAGG
rnacentral:rRNA from 1 species